rnacentral:rRNA from 1 species
UACAGAGGGUGCGAGCGUUAAUCGGAAUUACUGGGCGUAAAGGGCGCGUAGGCGGUCCUUCAAGUCAGGCGUGAAAGCCCCGGGCUCAACCUGGGAACCGCGCUUGAGACUGGCGGACUCGAGUUCGGGAGAGGAUGGUGGAAUUCCCAGUGUAGAGGUGAAAUUCGUAGAUAUUGGGAAGAACACCGAUGGCGAAGGCGGCCCACUGGAUCGGUACUGACGCUGAGGUGCGAAAGCGUGGGGAGCAAACAGG